rnacentral:tRNA from 1 species
GGCGGGAUGGCAGAAUGGCUAUGCAGCGGAUUGCAAAUCCGUGUAUCUCGGUUCGACUCCGGGUCCCGCCUCCA